GAACGCUGGCGGCAGGCCUAACACAUGCAAGUCGAGCGGUAGCACAGAGAGCUUGCUCUCGGGUGACGAGCGGCGGACGGGUGAGUAAUGUCUGGGAAACUGCCUGAUGGAGGGGGAUAACUACUGGAAACGGUAGCUAAUACCGCAUAACGUCGCAAGACCAAAGUGGGGGACCUUCGGGCCUCAUGCCAUCAGAUGUGCCCAGAUGGGAUUAGCUAGUAGGUGGGGUAACGGCUCACCUAGGCGACGAUCCCUAGCUGGUCUGAGAGGAUGACCAGCCACACUGGAACUGAGACACGGUCCAGACUCCUACGGGAGGCAGCAGUGGGGAAUAUUGCACAAUGGGCGCAAGCCUGAUGCAGCCAUGCCGCGUGUGUGAAGAAGGCCUUCGGGUUGUAAAGCACUUUCAGCGGGGAGGAAGGCGGUGAGGUUAAUAACCUCAUCGAUUGACGUUACCCGCAGAAGAAGCACCGGCUAACUCCGUGCCAGCAGCCGCGGUAAUACGGAGGGUGCAAGCGUUAAUCGGAAUUACUGGGCGUAAAGCGCACGCAGGCGGUCUGUCAAGUCGGAUGUGAAAUCCCCGGGCUCAACCUGGGAACUGCAUUCGAAACUGGCAGGCUAGAGUCUUGUAGAGGGGGGUAGAAUUCCAGGUGUAGCGGUGAAAUGCGUAGAGAUCUGGAGGAAUACCGGUGGCGAAGGCGGCCCCCUGGACAAAGACUGACGCUCAGGUGCGAAAGCGUGGGGAGCAAACAGGAUUAGAUACCCUGGUAGUCCACGCCGUAAACGAUGUCGAUUUGGAGGUUGUGCCCUUGAGGCGUGGCUUCCGGAGCUAACGCGUUAAAUCGACCGCCUGGGGAGUACGGCCGCAAGGUUAAAACUCAAAUGAAUUGACGGGGGCCCGCACAAGCGGUGGAGCAUGUGGUUUAAUUCGAUGCAACGCGAAGAACCUUACCUGGUCUUGACAUCCACAGAACUUUCCAGAGAUGGAUUGGUGCCUUCGGGAACUGUGAGGCAGGUGCUGCAUGGCUGUCGUCAGCUCGUGUUGUGAAAUGUUGGGUUAAGUCCCGCAACGAGCGCAACCCUUAUCCUUUGUUGCCAGCGGUUAGGCCGGGAACUCAAAGGAGACUGCCAGUGAUAAACUGGAGGAAGGUGGGGAUGACGUCAAGUCAUCAUGGCCCUUACGACCAGGGCUACACACGUGCUACAAUGGCAUAUACAAAGAGAAGCGACCUCGCGAGAGCAAGCGGACCUCAUAAAGUAUGUCGUAGUCCGGAUUGGAGUCUGCAACUCGACUCCAUGAAGUCGGAAUCGCUAGUAAUCGUAGAUCAGAAUGCUACGGUGAAUACGUUCCCGGGCCUUGUACACACCGCCCGUCACACCAUGGGAGUGGGUUGCAAAAGAAGUAGGUAGCUUAACCUUCGGGAGGGCGCUUACCACUUUGUGAUUCAUGACUGG
rnacentral:rRNA from 1 species